CCAUAUUUUUGGGGGGACGGUGCCAACGAGAACGGUGUUUCUGCAGCUCCGCGGCUGGUGAUCUCUGCCUUUUCAUUACUUUAAAAGAGUUGCAGUAAAGCACCAUUGCUCUGCAACCAUGAAUGCGGGCCCCUCAGUAAAGUUGAGUUCGUACGCGCAGAAUUUAGAGGCGAAUGCGAAGAACCGCUACGUUAAGAAAGUGGAGCUUUGCGGUGGCGUCGAUCCACUUUUGCUUACUUCGAAAGAAACGUCGUUCGAUCUCGCGCUCGUGCGUAAAGUAUAACUUUCGGACAUCAAGGAUUACAUUGUGCACACGACGAGUUUCAUCACCCACGAACAACUGAAGGCCAAAAAAUCUCGAGUCGCAUAAUUACCUGACCAGCGGAUUCGUGCAAAGAGCCCCAGCUGCAAAGACACGGCGAUCAAAACAUCGCGCGCACCAAGGUUAACCACUCUCAGGCGAUUUCACCUCAGCCACUAGAGCCAUGGCUUCUAGUCAAGCAGGAUGGCAUGGUUAAAGCUGCGCAUUGCACCUGUAUGGCCGGUCUCGGUGAAGCCUGCUCGCACAUUGGGACACUGCUCUUCUAUUUAGAAGCAGCUUGUGUUGUGUUGCAGUGUUAUCCCUACCUUCAGUGCUGCACAUGUCUGGUCUUUUGGGAGGUUCUUGCUUUGACAUGCGUGGCUUGGCAUGUAAUUUACAUUACAAAAAACAUGGUUGCUUAAGGCAAAUGUAGGGGGCAAGAUGAACUUUAUUCCCAGCAGUUUCGUUUCUGUUGGCACAAACAGUGGAUUUUUAGGAAGAUUCCUGCUUCAACAUAAUGGGCACAGCACGUGCAUUAUGUGCAUGAAAAAACAUAUGGUCAAUUAACGCAAGAAGGGAUUCUAAGGACUUAAAAAAGCGCUUUUGAAAGACAAAUUCAGGUAGAAAAAUGAACUUUAUUUCCUGCUUUUGUCCUUACUGCAUCGGUGUCUGAAACUUCGUUCAGAGUUCGUACAAGUUUCAGAGGCAGAAAUUACGGUCAUUGAAGACCCCCGUCAAUGCUUCUUCAAUGGACGCCAGGUCCUGCAAGGCCACUCCCAAUCGCAGCCUCAUUAGUGUGAGUACAAAUUCUUGGAAUUUCGCAAGAGCAUUGUUUGGGCUGCGUGGCACACUACUUUCGACAAGUGUGAACAGUGAAAUCAGAACUGUGAAGCUUGGUAGGCCCGUGUAAAAUUGCACACGGGUGUUGUCAUGCUCCAAAGAAGCUUUCGACAGCCGAAGUGUGUCCAGAGAGCCCUUCACCUCCUGUAACUCGGUGCGUAGGACCUGGUUAUCAGCUUCAAAACUCUUCAGAACACUGCCUGUGAUGUCAGUUUGAGUUUCAGCAUCCUUUAGCACUGAAAGAAAUGUAUAGGCAAUACAUUACUACGCAUUUGCCAGUCAGGUGCAGAGUGCUUGAGAUAUUUGUCACAUUACUUACAUGAAGUGGUAUUUACUGAAGCUUCAGCUGUCGAAGUGGUGGCUUGAACACCAGCUUCAGAAAACUUUACAUCUGAUAAAAAAUGCAGGAAUGUGACUCUUAGAAUCCCUUGUGUUAAACACUUCCGGUUUGCUCCAACUGAACGAAUGCAGUACUCACAAUAUGAGGCAUCCACUACAACUCCAACUGGAGAACCCAUUUCAGCUGAGGCCCUGCCUUCCUCGGGUGAUUGCACAGAUGGUGGGUCUGCAAUGAGGUGUUGUCAAUCAUUGAAGUUAUGUUCCUAAAUUAAAGUACUCGGGCCGUUUGAACUGUGUAAACACAAAUCACUCAAUAAACGUCAGCAACAGUAUCAUCAGCAUCUUGAGCUACGGUUGAAGCUGGUACUUGUUGCAGCAUGGAUUGACCUGCAUUGAAGUGUUGUCAUUGCUAUUUCACAACCACCAAUUUUGUGCUCACAUAAUGGGCCCACUACUCCAGAGAGAGGGAAGCACCAAAUAGUUUACGCUGUAGGACUGUUGGAUAUAUGACGCUGUUUACUGCAAGCAAUAGGGUAGAGGAUGAGCAAAUAGUGAGGUUUUGUAAUUUUUGUCAGAAAGACCAACCAUGCAAAAAUUAAAAGUACACAACUUGCCACUGCCUGCUAGCUCAAAGACCAUCGGGAACAAUAUAAUUCCAUUACAAGCACACUGUGAUGUAAAAUCCAGCCUGUAUGAACAGCUUAUCUAGGGCACUGACCUGAACCGCUGUUGAGUGCGCAAUGUGGCUCAUCAGCUUCCUUGUUAUGUGCUGUAACAGGGCGUGCAAGUGGUGUGCCUGUAUAGAAUCAAGGUGCUAUAAAGAUGCUGAAUGUCAUUAAAGGAAAUAGUCCCCAUGUAUGAAUAAGCCAUUGUACCCGUGACAGUUCUGCACACAGCGCUGUGCUGCACGUUCAACACAUUUGAAGGCUGGAGAACUCUGCUAUUGCCCUCUUGGAUCUCCUUUGAGGUCGCAGCCCUCUUGCAACGUCGCUGGUGCCUGAAAUAAAAUGUAAAGCCUUUAUGUGAAAAUGUC
rnacentral:lncRNA from 1 species